AGGCGAUACCUACAGACACAGACCACAAAUGUGGGUAAAAAGCAAAAGUGAGCAGGAGGCGACUCACGGCGACUAAAAACCAGAGGAGCGGCAUUUUUAAAUUCUAGGUAAUUCCACUUGGACCUGCGGAAUUUGGUUGCAACAGUGACCCAUACAGGAAACAUGUUUUAUGGGAAAAAGGAAGUCAUGCCAUGAGGGUGCCCAGCCAGGAUUUAAACAGAAUGGCGCAGUUAUGUGGCAUGCAUGACAACCCACUAAAACUAGCGUGACAACCCUUGGCCGGGUUUCAAAAUUUGGUGUGAAGUGGGUCACACUCCGAGGAAGGCAAAGGACGUUACGUUGAAUGUUUAAAUGGCCACAGUUUGGUCCCCAGUGGCCUUGUGUUGGAAAAAUCAUCAGACUUGAUGAGGACCUGACCUCUGGGGCUGUGCUGGUUUCCAAAACAUAGCAGCAGGACAUCCAGACCAUAUCAGAUUAGUCUUUAGAAGUGCCAGAGAAAGAGUUUCGAGAGAUAUGAAUAAAACUGGCUUCUGAUGUUUUGAAGUGUCUAAAAUA